GACGAACGCUGGCGGCGGGCUUAACACAUGCAAGUCGAACGGAAAGGCCCUGCUUGUGUGGGGUGCUCGAGUGGCGAACGGGUGAGUAACACGUGAGUAACCUGCCCUUCACUUUGGGAUAACUUCAGGAAACUGGGGCUAAUACCGGAUAGCAUCUCCUGCUGCAUGGUGGGGGUUGGAACGUUGCGGCGGUUGGGGAUGGACGGGCGGGUUAUCAGCUUGUUGGUUGGGGAGUGGCUUACCAAGGCUUUGACGGGUAGCCGGCAUGAGAGGGUGAACGGCGACCUGGCGCCUGCGAGACGGAGCAGUGUGCUACGGGAGACAGUAGUGGGAAAUAUGGUCCAGUGAGCGGAAGUGUGAGGCAGAGACGUCGCGUGUGUGAUGACGGCCUGUGGGUUGUGAACAGCUUUCGCUUGUGACGACGCGGGAGUGACGGUAACGGGUAAAGAAGCACCGGCUAACUACGUG
rnacentral:rRNA from 1 species